UCUGAGUCAGAGGACUAAAGUCUGCUGCUCAGUUUCACAGCCAGCAGGGUUGCAGUCUCUGCCCUCCUUCCUCCGCCUUCCCUGGAGGGCUGGCCAGGAGGGCAACAUGGCGCCCACAUUAGUUUCCUAGGGCUGCCCUAACCAAAUGCCACAAACUAAGAUGCUUUACAUAGCACAAAUGUUUUGUCUUACAGUUCUGGAAGCUGGAAGUCCUAAAGCAGGGUGUCGGCGGGUGCCACGCUCCCUCUCAAACCUGCAGGGGAGAAUCCUUUCCUGUCUGCUCCUAGCGCUGGCAGCCCUGAGCACUCCUUGGUUUAUGGCUGCUUCAUGCCAUCUCUGCCUUUGUCCUCAUGUGACAUUCUCCCUGUGCGUCUUCCGGCUGCGCAUGUUCGUCGAAAUUUCCCUCUUCUGAUAAGGACACCAAUUAUAUGGAAUUAGGGGCCCACGCUAUCACAACGUGACUUCAUCUUACCUAAUUACAUCUGUGGUGACUCUAUUUCCAAAUAGGGUCACAUUCAAAGACGCUGAUGGGCGUGCUUCAAACCAAGGUCUCAAUGAGUAUUUGCUGGGUAAAGGAACACGUGCAUGUAUCAGCUCUUCAGAUUGGCUCAGAAGUAAGGCAGAACUAAAGCUACAGAAUUAGACCCUGCAGUUGAGAGAGGGUUCACGGACCGACACAUCCAUGCUGUCUCUCCUGGGCAUGAGGGCUGUGGUUUUUACUGAACUUGAAGAAACGGGAUAUAGAGGGGAUGAAAAAACUCACGCGCUCCUAGCAGCCCAAAGAGACGAGGAGGUGGGAAAGGAGUGGGACAUGUAUUCAGACCAGCACACACUAUCUAAUGAAAGAAAUGCCUGACAUUCUCAACGGCAAAUAAAUCCGGAAGCCCUGGGACUGGAGAAGACCUAGGAAGUCAGCUCAUCCGUCUUCACACCUCCAGGCAGUUCUGUAAGGAAAACCAUCCCUGAAAGCAACCAUCUGGCUUUUUCUCUGACUCUUCUCUAAGGAAGCACCUUCCCAGACUCCUUUGAUAAGCCAUUUUGGUGCCCUAGUGGAAAAUAAUAAAGUUAUUGCUACAGCAGUGCAGUUAGGGUUAUGGAAUUGGAGCCCAGACGCACGACUCUGGAGUCACUGCAUCCCCCCUGCCCACCCUGAUGCACUUCAUGUUAAUACACCACCGAUGUCUACAUUCUAUAGUAUUCCAGGCCUUUGACGCUUUCAUCUUGCGGAUACCCCAGACUUUUGCAAGGAUUCUCUCUAAAAUCAUUUUAAUCCGAUGAUAAGUACGGUUAACCUAGAGGAUAGACAUCCAGGCUAUGGAGUUUAGAUUUGAGUCCUGACUUCAAAAUGCAUGAGAAGUGUGAUUU